CAGUAAUGGGUGCAGAGGGCAGCGAGCUCCUGACUUCUCUCAGUGGGGGAGAUGGACGAGAGGGGCCCACAGGCAGCGCUGGGAACCAGCAAGGAGCUUGCUGGGUGCUGGGACUAAAGGCGUGCACCACCAUCACCCGGCCCUAAGGCUCUUUCCAUCAUGUUGACAUCACCCUCUGGAAUCACGAAGUAGGAGUUCAGGAUAUAUAGGAAAUUUUUCACACAGUGUGUCUAGAAAUGGCAUGGAACAUCUCAGGCUGGGAGGGAAAGACUUGUCCAGCUGAUCUCUUGGCUUCUAGUGUCCUGAGAAGUCCACCGUCACAUUAUGACUGAGGCCAUAUUUCUCGAACACAGGAUGGUUACUCCUGGCUCUGUGAGGAAGGCAGUAGCCUUCUUAGGAGAAGAUUCAAAGCCCUGUGUGCUCAAAGCCUUCCCUAGCUCAAACCCCAGCAUCGCAAACCCCACCCUAUACCACUGCACCAUGGUGUAUGCUUUCCUCAGGGCCGUCCUCACAGAUGCUGUCUCUACUUCCUAGUGUGGCCCAUCCUGGCCAGCACCGAGGCACCCAUGACAGUGCCCUGAACAACCAGCACUCACUCUCCACCAGCAGCAACUGGACAGCUGCUUGCUGAGUUCAUGCAUUAAAACCCCUUCUUGCAUGGCUGAGGAGAUGGCUCAGAAGCUAACCGUGCUCGCUUACAAAGCCUGAUGACCAGGGUUCAGUCUCCAGCCACCCACAUGAGGCUGGAUGGACAUUCAUUUGAAAUGUCACAAGACCCUCAUAUAUACACACUUGCACACAUAUACAUGUGUAUAUAAACAUACAAAAAGUAAAAAUAAAUAAAAUCCCUCCUUGAAAAAUAUAGUCCAAGCCACCUAGUGACACAGGCCUGUAACUCGUGAGCUUGGGAGGUUGGGCAGGAGAAUCUCAACUUCUAGGCCAGCCUGGGCUACAAAACGAGUUCAAACAGCUACAUAGUGAAACCUGGUCUCAAACACCAAAAAGAACCAAAACCAACCAAACCAAACAACAGCAACGAAAUACUCCAACAUUCAAGUUUUAAUAGUUGUAACAGGGAAUGGUCUGGGGAGUGGGUGGGCAGGGGUGGCUAAGAAUACUCGCUGCACAAAUGAAGACCUGAGUUCAAUCCCCAGCACCCACGUGAAAGCCUGGGCAUGCUCCAAGGCUCAGGGAACACUGUGGAAAAGGGGACACAAAGAAUGUAAGAGCCAAAGGAUGGGAAGGAACGCUUUGGAACACUGCUUUCCACACAUGAAGUGGUCACUGCAGUCAUGACCCCACAGUGACUGUCAUUACCUGCACAAGAACUGCACAAUAUUGGGCCGGUCAACACUCCAUCAUAGAUGAUGGAGGAGGGAGAAAAAAAAACCCAUCAAAA